GGUUUGUGGCUCAGUGGUGGAGCGCUCGCCUAGUGCAUGCGAAGUCCUGGGUUCAAUCCUAAGCACCA
rnacentral:tRNA from 1 species